rnacentral:rRNA from 1 species
AUUGAACGCUGGCGGCAGGCCUAACACAUGCAAGUCGAGCGGAUGAAGGGAGCUUGCUCCUGGAUUCAGCGGCGGACGGGUGAGUAAUGCCUAGGAAUCUGCCUGGUAGUGGGGGAUAACGUCCGGAAACGGGCGCUAAUACUGCAUACGUCCUGAGGGAGAAAGUGGGGGAGCUUCGGACCUCACGCUAUCAGAUGAGCUUAGGUCGGAUUAGCUAGUUGGUGGGGUAAAGGCCUACCAAGGCGACGAUCCGUAACUGGUCUGAGAGGAUGAUCAGUCACACUGGAACUGAGACACGGUCCAGACUCCUACGGGAGGCAGCAGUGGGGAAUAUUGGACAAUGGGCGAAAGCCUGAUCCAGCCAUGCCGCGUGUGUGAAGAAGGUCUUCGGAUUGUAAAGCACUUUAAGUUGGGAGAAAGGGCAGUAAGUUAAUACCUUGCUGUUUUGACGUUACCAACAGAAUAAGCACCGGCUAACUUCGUG